rnacentral:lncRNA from 1 species
GGGAUUGUUAUAAGAUAAACACUAAUAUAUUGCAAAAUAUACUAGGAGGUUGUUGCAAAUAUUCACAACCUUUUUGCAUGUUGCACGAGUUGUAGAAGCAUACAUAUUUUUUUUUUCUCUGUACGAUUGCUGCAGUUUUAUGAAUGUUGCAGAUCUUUUCUGCUUGGCACGAUGGUCAACUUUGAGUUGUUACAAAUAUCCUUCGAAAGCCAUAGCUUUUUUUGGUCCAUUUUAAUCACCCUUUUGUAUCUACAAAUAGAUGCUUUUAC